UAUUAUAAUAUAUACACCAUAGCAAUUCCAAGAAAUGGUUCACUUCGACAGAGUGAAAGAUCUUCAUUCAUGGAGAUCUCAUCGGAAAAUUUGUGUCAAAGUCUUUAGAAACUGGAGGAAAGUCGAUGAAGUUGAUGACACCUUAGAACUGAUUUUGCUGACAUGAUUAAAGCAACUAUAAAAAAAGAUUUGAUCACACUUUUGAUAAUCAAAUUAACGAAGAUGAAUGAAAAUUGUUAUCCACUUCUUUUUAUGUGUUAUACAAUGAUAUACGUUUUAAAUGGUGGACAAGACUACUACAUCACUAUCUUCAAUGAAAUUGUUGUUGAUAAUUCAAAAGUGAUCUCCACCAAUAUCUUUUGUGUAGUGAUUGGAACUUACAUAAUCCGAAUCAAUGAAGUGGUUAGUGGAGAUCACUUCUGAAUUAUCAAUAACAGUUUCAUUGAAAAUAAUGAUAUGGUAGUCGUGUCCACCAUCUUUAAAUGUUUAUUAUUGUUCCACUCCACACAGAGAAAGUGGAUAAGAUUUUUCAUUCAUCUUCAUUAAUUUGAUUAUAAAAAGUGGGGAUCAUAUCGUUGUUUAUAGUUGCUUGAGUCUUGUCACCUGGAAUUCUGGCGUGUAAUGGAUAUAAUAGAUCUUUCUUAUGUAUUUAUGAAAUUAUCUGCUGCGCGCGAUAGUUUACUUUUUUUAUGGGAUUAUUUACAAAAUGAGAAUGAUCAAAACUUUAAAUAUAAAAUAAUAGAAAUGAAAAUAUUAGAUGAUCUAUCUUGCAUUUACACCAUUACACAUUAGACGUUUCUCAACCUUUUUUUUAUUUUUUUUUUAUUUUGGAUUUUCGCAAAACAUAUUUUCAUUAUUUAUAAGUAAAUUUAUAAACUAUAGGCGUUAUGAUGUAAUGGUGUAAAUUUAUAAACAUAUUUUUAUUAUUUUAGACCAUCUUUAUUGCUAAGAAUUGCUUCUUAAUUAAGAGAACAUAAGAAGGGCUAGACGUGUUCGAUAAUUGUUUGGUGUUGCUUUAAUACAGAAGAAAUAUUUUUUUUUUGUUGAUGACUAUGGUUUUCUCUUUCUCGACGGAGAGACUGCGAAAUCAAGAGAUUUCUCUCAAAAAUCGAUUGCAACCAGAGAAGAAUGAUUCAACUUUCGGUGGCCACGGGCUGUUCAACCCCGUUCAUUCAUCAUCUCCACCGACGGUUCAACGGCGGCUCUCUUUCAUGUAAUCGGCAAGUUUGAAAUCGGAAAGUCUCAUUCACCAAUGAUUAUAUCGCUGAAUUGUUGUUUGGGUUGUGAUUGAUCUAUUGUGUAGAGAUGUAUAUGUCUCCAUGUCUUUAGCUGAGGUUUUUGUAUAGAGAUUUGGAUGGGUCUCUUCAUAGUUUUAAAGCUGAGCUAAUUAGGGGGUUUGAAGGUUAUACAAAGGUUGAUUCCAAAGAUCAUCAGAUCAGUGAUUUAGAAAAGCUAACUCAAUUUAUUGUGUGGUUCCAGGUCACUUCUUCUUCUUCUUUUUCUUUACUUUCUCUCCUCCUUUCUGCCAUUGUUGACUGUUGAGUAUCAAAUUCUCGAUUUUUCUCUUCCCCAUGUGAGCUGAAUCCUAUUUGAUAUCACUUAAAGCUAACACCAUGGUUCCUCCGGCUAAAAAAUUCAUCAACAACCCCAAUGAUGUUGUAACCGAGCUCAUCGAGGGUCUCAGAACCACCAAAUUUACGAUGCAAUUCUCUUCUCCUUAUGUAAAGGAUAUUGCUUCUUCUCUUAUUUUCUAUGUCUAAAUAUACGCUAAUUAACAACAUUUUUUUGCAUUAGAAAUAACUCUACAUGUUAUUCCCUGCUUCGGUAUUGUUGCUUAUCUUGUUUAAAGUUUGACACAAAUCAAGAUUACAACUAAUCUUUUUCUCUAUUUGUGAUUUCUACGUCUAUGUUAAUAUGGUUUUAUGUUUUGUAUGUUUAAAAGUUUAUGAAAUGCAAUAAUAAAAUCUUCAAUGUUUAAACAUUAAA